rnacentral:misc_RNA from 1 species
UCCAGAGUUUCUCCGGCAGUCCCCCAUGAGUGCUCGGCACUACCCGGUGGCAACAUAGGGCGGGGGUUGCGCUCGUUGCGGCACUUAAGCCAACACCUCACGGCACGAGCUGACGACAGCCAUGCAGCACCUGUGCAGGGCCCCGAAGGACACGGGCUUUCACCCGCUUUACCCUGCAUGUCAAGCCCAGGUAAGGUUCUUCGCGUUGCAUCGAAUUAAGCCACAUGCUCCGCCGCUUGUGCGGGUCCCCGUCAAUUCCUUUGAGUUUUAGCCUUGCGGCCGUACUCCCCAGGCGGGGUGCUUAAUGCGUUAGCUUCGGCACGGAGAGGGUUGAAGACCUCCCCACACCUAGUGUUCAUCGUUUACGGCUAGGACUAC